rnacentral:rRNA from 1 species
UACGUAGGGUGCGAGCGUUGUCCGGAAUUAUUGGGCGUAAAGGGCUCUUAGGCGGUUUGUCGCGUCGGGAGUGAAAACUCAGGGCUUAACCCUGAGCCUGCUUCCGAUACGGGCAGACUAGAGGUAUGCAGGGGAGAACGGAAUUCCUGGUGUAGCGGUGAAAUGCGCAGAUAUCAGGAGGAACACCGGUGGCGAAGGCGGUUCUCUGGGCAUUACCUGACGCUGAGGAGCGAAAGUGUGGGGAGCGAACAGG